UUCUGAUAGGCCACAUCCAAGUCGCAUGAUCAUGUUGAGUCAUGUGCUCAUCUCUGGACCAAUCACUGUGACCUACUGGGCAGAUUCUAAUAAGCCAGGCCCAAGUCACAUGAUCACCUUCCUGAUUGUGGGGGUGAGAAGUCAGGAUUGUAGUUACCAAAAGAAGGGGAGUGAAUCUCAGAGAAACAAGAACAGUGGCUUUCUCUACAUAUAUCUACUCAAAAACAGCAACAGCAAACAAAAAAUUAGAAGGAAGGAUGAAGACAAACACUAGGAACAUAAAAGUCUCUCCUAUUCUCUAGAUAGAUGCAUCCUUAGGAUCAACCUCUACAUAUCAUUUUGUAACUGUUAUUUUUACUUAUUUGUUGAGGACUUAGUAUAUACAGUGCUCUAAUAAAGCUCAGCACAGAGGAGGCAUAGAAAGACUGGGAAAAAAGCUUGGAAGGGUCCGGCUGCAUGGAGCUGGUGGUGGAACAUGUCAAGGGAGUCCAGGAGCUGAGCAUGGAUGCUCCAUCGCCCUCCUAUGUUUUGAAAUCUACUGAAUGUCACAGGUAAUCUUCCCUCUCUUCCUUCCAGGGGUACUGUGCGCCAGGCAUUCAAAGACAGCACUCAGGAGAUCUUCAUAGCAGCCCUCAAAGUAGGUUUUAGCCUCUGCUCAGAGUAACUGUUAAAUAACUCCAUGGAGGUUACAACAGCAGAACAGCAGAGGCUGGUGGAGCCACAAUUGAAGUUCAGGUCUGGCUGACACUGGGACAGUGUUUUUUCCCUCUUCCAUGGUGUAUUCAUCAAGCACUGGGCCUGACACCAGGGGACACAGAUAAACCAGAACCCCUGCCCUGCGGAAGCUGGUGGGGCAGGGAGGAGUCAAUAACAACUGAGACAGACCGGAGCAAAAGGUGGGCUGAAGCAGGGCUGGAAAUGACUUCAGUGGAGCACAGGAGAGGGAGAGACGCAGCUGCAAAGAGGUGCUGACUGAGUCAGGGAGAGGCUGUUACGGAGGGGGACAACCCUCAGGGAUGGUGGCUCUCUAAAGGAGCAGGACAUGGCGACUAAAUGCAAUGUGGGAUCCCAGGUUGGCUCUUGGAUUAAAAAUAAUAAUAAUAAUAAAAAGCUACAGGCUGGGCACAGUGGCUCACACCUGUAAUCCCAGCACUUUGGGAGGCCGAGAUGGGCAGAUCGUUUGAGCUCAGGAGUUCGAGACCAGACUGGGCAACAUGGUGAAACCCUGUCUCUACCCAUGAUACAAAAACUUAGCCGGGUGUGGUGGUGUG
rnacentral:lncRNA from 10 species